UCUGUCAAAAAUAAAUAAACAUUAAAAAAAAUUUUUUUUUUUUUAAACAGAGUGUAUAGGAAAGGUCUCACAGAGAAAAUGAGCAAAGACCUAAAAGAGCAGAAGGGGCCAGCUUUGUGGAUGUCUGGGUCCAGACAGUGCAGAGGCCCUGUGACGGGGGCGUGCCUGGCCUGUUCAAGGAGCAACAGGCCAGUGUGGCCAGAGAGGAGUGAGUGAAAUAGAGUAGGAGAGGAGGUCUGGAAGUAGGGGGGCCCGUGUCCCAUGGGGCCUUGUAGGCUUUUCUCUGAGGAGAUGGGAUCCCUUUGGGGACUGCCGGAUACACCCAGGAGCAGCACGUGCUACAUGUCAGGCAUGGUGCUAGGUGUUGAUGACACCCAAAGGAAAAGACACAGUUACUGUCUUGAGGAGUUCACAGUCUAAUGUUGGAAUGUGAAUGAAGAUGUAAAGAAACUAUUUUCUAGGCAAUAGUGUACCAAGGGGGCAGGAGGUGGGAGCACAGGCCACCAGGGACUGUCUGACGAAGUUUUAAAAACAUUAAUAAAACCAACUAAAAGGCGGUCUCCUUUUCCAUCACCAUAUUCCCAACAGUGCAUCCACCCCCAACCACAUUGACUCAAGGCACUACGACUGAGAGAGCUCAAGAGUAUUGGCAAAGGGGAUGAGAAGUCAGGAGAGGCUAGACAGCUUGGGUGAUAUAAGGAUAGGCAAGAGUUGACUACACAGACAAGUCAGGGAAGGGCAUUGUAAGCGGGGGGAACAGAAAGUGCGCAGGCACAGAAACAUGAAAAAACACGGCAGGUGUGAGGGCAUGCUGAAAUAGCCUAGUACGACCCGAGCAUAGUCACUGUGCACACGGUCGGGAGAGGAGACUGAGCAUGUGGGCACAGCCCUCUUCUCAGGGGCCUCAUCUGUCACGCUAAGAAAGGUGGAUAUGAUCCUGUGGUUGGUCGGCAUCCGCCACACGAUUUCUAAGCUGGGGCGAGACAGGGGAGAUCUGCAUUUUGGAUGUUCCUCUGCACGGCGGUGCAGACGAUGGCUAGGGAGGGAGACCGGUCAGGAGAUGCUGCAGUGGGGCUUUGAGAGCCUGGGCAAGGGAUGGACAUGCAUACCAUCGCAUAGGGUGUGAGCUUUGUAACUGGAGGCAUCCCAUUCGUAUCAGCUGGACUCUCCCUCCUUCAGCACCUGAGUCUCAAGGCAGUCCUGACAUUUAGGGAUCCUCCAGGGUGCAGCUGGGCCUGGGCUCAGGGUGCUGUGCUCCAACUCUCAAGACAUCCACCACACCUCUGUCUUCCCUUUGCCAAGCCUGGAACGUGGCUUCAGAUGGUUUCUGUCCUCCCUCCCCUAACCUGCUGGCAUGCUCUUCUGGGGCAAAAACCCACAUAGGAACCACAGCAAAGCUCACUUUGGCAACUGUGUAGAUUUAAUUCCUUUCAUCUACAGGUUUGAGAGCUGAGCUAUGUGCACCAAAAGACUUCUGUGGCUAGUCAGCAAAAAAUGUACAUAUCUUGACUUUUAUGUACAAGAGAUAAGAAGUAUCAGAUGAACAGCCUCUUUUUCUCUCAUGAGUUAAAACACAAACUACUUCUUUGUGUGUAAUGGCUGUUUGAACAAUUAGGGCAGCGAUGGUCUAUCAGAUAACGUUUUAAAACCUUCCUGAUCCAUGCAGCUGAGCUGAGCGCUCUACGACCUGUGGAUCUUUCUGGUAACACUGUUAUCUCUAACGACUGAUAAAGAGUUCACAAGCUUUUCCACUUAAAAUCCCAGAUAGCAGACAAAGCAAAGCUCGAAUUGUUAAGGUUGGUUUGUUUGUGUGCCUAUUUCUUUGUUUACCUUCUUAGCGUUUGGGAAGAGCACAGGGAUGAAUCUGAAAUUCAUGCUUCCUUGUUUUAUGAACUCAAUCUGCAUCUGGAACAGAAGGAAUGUGAAAGUUUGAUUUCAGGAAUGAGGAGGAGGAGUUAAUGGCACCCACAAUCAUGCAAGGCCCACACAGCGUUUUUAUUCUGAUUUCGAGUGCCACACACUUCGCCUUUCAGGUGCCCCCCCUGACACAUGCAUGCCAUACACACGAAUCAUUUGUUGAAGGCCUGUUAAACAUCACACUCAGUGCUCGACCUUGGGUUUCAAGGAUUAGGAUACCCUCCAGGGUGUGCUGAGCUGGCUCCUAUCGGCUCACAAAAGCCAGUUGUAUGCAUCCAUUCCUAAUUCCUUGUGCAGUGAUUUUACACUGGUAGCUUGAAAUGGGCCCUAAUGAGAGUAUUUAUACCAUGGAAAUGGGGAAAUGCUACAAAUCAGGAUUUUUUUUUUUUUUUUUUUUCUUGAGAACCAGUUUACCGGAACACUACAGAUACAAUCCCUAUCCUCCGAAAGUCAGCAGAUUGGUGCGGAGGAAGAAGGGUAAAUUGCCAACCACGGUGCAGUGUGAAAAGUUUAAACAAAUUGCUGUGGAAGGCCAAAAUGGGGGCCAUCCAUUCUGCAUCAGUGAUUUGAAGAGUUACAGGGGACAUGUCACUUAGAUACUGGAAGACAAGAAUAAUUUGAUCAGGCAGAAGAAGUGGGGGAGAGGGGAAGGACACUCCCAGCAGACGAAACAGCAAGAGCAAACCUUUGGAGGUGUGAAAGAAUUUUAGUGGGGUUGGGGCCAGCCAACAAUGCUUUGUGGCUAGAGCACAGGAUGGGCUAGGGAGGGGAUGGGAGAUGAGGCUGGGGGGGAGGGGGGGGCGGUCAACCGUGAGGAGCUCUGCCUGCCACAGGACAUGUAGGUUCCCCACACGGUUCCAGUUUGCUCUGACACUGCUGUGGCCCCAAAAGACUCAGCUGCCAAGAACUGUAUCAAAACCAGAAUUUUCAAGAUGAGCGGAGCUGGGAGUCUUCCCAAUCCUGUGACCAGCACAAAGCUCUCAGUCAGUCAUCUGAUGACAAGGAGAUGAGGAAUGAUGUGUCCCCAAGUAUUUCAUCUUCCAAUUGAUUUUUAAAACUGAGAAAUCUUCAUUGUGCAGGGGAAUACAAACAGGACAGAGAAGUGACAGUGGUGACAGUUGGUUUUUGAAGUCGCCAUAGAAACCCACAAACACAGUCUCACGCGUGCGCACUCACACACACACAUACACACACACACACACACCACACACAAAUGCCCCACACGGUGUUUUCUCAGAACCGCUGUCUUUUAAAAUCCAGAGGACCAAAAGCGCAUUUUAAAAUGACCCACGUACAGUGCAACUGAAAGCACCAAUCAUCAGGACAAACACGUGAAAGGAAGGGCACAGGGUUUAGAAGCUAAAAGUAAAGAACUGGAUUUCACCUCUGACUUCCCAGGACCCUGUCUCUAAAAUUUUGCUUGUCUGCUAGGCUACCCAGCCUGCCGGCGGGCCAGAGAGCAGCGGCGGAUUAUAGUUUUCUCUCGUAUUUCCAGAUACCGGCUUUUCGUGAAGUCACUGGCUCUAUAAUGCGGUUACUCCUGGGUACCUUUUCACUCCCUCUGUCCUAGAGGUUUCUGCUGCCUGGAGGGGACCUGGAGGUCAGCCAGCUGGGCAGGAAGGCACUUCUGUAUCAGGCCUCUUCAACUCCUUCAGUGAUAAGGAAGGGCCCAAGACAUCCAUGUCCCCAGACACUGAGUUUGGAGACAAUCUGGUUCAUGGCUGGGCACAGUCAGACAAACUCUGAGGUUGAGCUGCGUUUUACUGCCUGGCGUGGCCACACACCAGCAGACCUUGACAGGUUUCCUCAGGAACUGGCAGGGACCUGGAGCCCUUCCCACACACCAGCUGUCAGCUCCCAGGACUGGCAGGUUCCUAGAGAUGCAGACAGGACAUUGAGUGCUUUGGGGCCAGCCAGACAUGCAGCAGACAGCCAAGGGAUGGCAGCACCCGCAGCCAGCCGUGACCCUUUUCUGGGCCCUGUCCAACCCCUGGGGGGCUGUCAGACUGGGAGAGGAUGAACAGGGGGGAGGCUUCGCUCCUGAUUCCCUGGCCUUACUCUCUGACCUCACCACCUUGCCUCGGGUUGGUUCUGAACUCGCACAAGUGGUCGGCACUUGGUAGAAGAGGAGACAGAUGGGGAACUCCCACCCACUCUGCCUUUUUCCUGUGCUCCUGAUCCCAGGACAGACCUGGACUUAAGUCAGCUUCUGCUGAGGUGCCUGUGGAAUGUUACCGUUGAAAUGGAGCUUACGAGUUCUAGUCCAGUGGAUUUCAAGCCUUUUCAAAUCUCAAAAUCCUUGGUAAACAAGCCUGAGGAAAGCAAACCAGCUGUGGCUGAGUUGGGGUUGGAGGCCCAGAGCCGCCCUGACCCCCAGCACCUGCGAGAGUCCAUCGGGGACAUUUUGACCCGCAGGACAUUUUGAAAGUCACAAGUCUAGUCCAGCGCCCUAGUCAAGCAGGGACCAUCUCCACAGCAUCUCUGUAAUCCUGGAAAGCAGGGGAGAUUGCUAGCUCACAAAACAGCCAAUUCCAAAGCUGGGUGGUAUUUUCGGUCAGAAUGUUUUGCCAGAUGCUGAGCACGCCUAACUUCCUACAAAUUUUUCCCACUGGUUUUAGUUUGACCAGAUCCCAUAGUUUAGGUGUGGCCGUGGAUGGUUGCUCAUCUAUCAUGAGCUAAGAACAGUCCCUUCCCUUGAUGUGAGCAUCGAUAUGUUCGUCACGAACGAUUUCAUUCCAUCUUUACGACACUGUAAGUAUUAGUGACCCAUUUUAUGAUUAGGGACAUGGAGGCACAGAGAAGCUUAAGCAGUUGGCCCGCAGUCACACAACUAUACAUGAGGAAGCAGAAUUUGAACCGGGUCUAUUUGACACAACAGCACGGGUCCUUUUCACUAUGCUACUCUGCCUCUCUGGUGAGGCAGGGGUCAGAAUAGGACACAGAUGCAGGAGCCCGCUCUCCCGCACAGCCCUGUCCCCUGCCCUCUUGGGACUUCACAUUUGUUGGUAAACAACCAAGUCAGCAGAGCACUGUUUUCCAGAACCUUGGACGCUCCAGAGCACAUGUGAAUCUCCCCUUGCUCCUGAUAGGAACGGAGUCCCAGAGACGUGGUCACUUAAGACAGAGCCAGAACCAACACCCCCCACUGCUGCCUGGGCUUCUUCACCCAUCAUCAUGCCGCCUUCAGUUGGUUUCUAGUGAAGGACAGGCCUUCACAGAAGAAAGCGCCCCUCUCCGAGGGGCGGCGAGGUGCUGCGGUCCCCCCACCACUCACCAUUCGAUGAAUGUACUUAGUAUGUAAGCCAUGCUCAUCCUCGUCCAGCUGUGAUUCAGCACCUUCCACAUCCUGUUUGUAUUUGGGGCUGAUUGCUACAAUUAUCAUCACUGUCUUCUGUUAAUGAGAGAGAAAGCAUGUUUAUGGAAGUGUAAAGUGUGGUCCAUUUGGUGAAGGCAGGCUGGAAACUGGCCAGCAAGACUGUAAGCGUCGUGACAUGCUCCAGAGUGGAGGGCCUGGCUCAUUCUCUGCCCAGGGUGAAAGGCACUGGCCUCCACUCUUAACAGGCUCCUGUCUCCCCUUCUCCCCUCCGUCUCCCUCCCGGCUCCCUUGAAAUGCAGAGCAAAUGGCUCUGUGAGGAGCUCUCCUAAAUGGAGGCGGUUUUGCCCACCAUUGUCCACAACCAUCACUAAUAAACGUCUAAUGAAAGCCGGAAUCGCUAAGUGACUGUGCAUCGUGGCAAAAAGGCUCCGGAACAUCACCGAUGAAAAGCCCCCUCCCUCCGGCAGCUGGGUGUAAGCUGUCAGUUACUGCACUCUUGACUGCCCUGCGUGCCACGAGCGCUUACGAGUCAGCACAGCCAGGAGGAGCAGCCCCUUCAACACAAAGCAAACAUCAGGCUGCAGACAAAAGGAAAAGCCACAAAACCCCAGCCUGCUGAGACUCUCUCCCCCACCGCUCUCUCCAAAAGAAGCAGCUGAAGCAGCCGACACGGACACACUGGCAGCAAUCAAUUUCUAUCUUGUUAGAGCACAAAGUGUCCCAGUGGUCAGUAUAGAUUCUGUCAGUGGAAAACAAAUCACAGGGCUCCGAGUGGGCGCCUGGAUUGGGGAGGGGGGACGGUUGCUGCACAGGGAGCCUCCCGGGAAAGCUCUGGAGCCCAAUCCUGCAAAACACUUGGGGUGGCCUCAGAUUAAAUUGAAUUCUGUCACUCCCUCCCCACUCCCUGCCUUCAUUUCCUCCUUUCCUAUUCUGGUCAAAAAAUUGUUUGCUCUGAUUGUUAUCAACCACCUGUGUCUGGUUUGACCGUUAUUUCCUGCCUGUGCAUGUCCAGAAGGGUGACCCCAUCCUUCCUUUCCAGGUCUUUGCGCGGCUGCCAACAAGGGAGGCUUUGUUGGGACUUUCUCGGCUUUGGACUUGGUGGGUUUGCCAAUUGCUCCUUGCAUAAAAUAGCCCCAUAAGCACAUUGUCUUUCCCACCAGCCAACGAGCUCAGAAUUUUGGAAUGUACUUACAUCUCUAAGGUAGCGUUCCAUCCACUUGAUGAUAUCAAUGCCUCGGAUUCUAUCCUCAAAUAUGUCAAUCUACAAGAAAAAGACACGGGAGGUGGCUCUUAAUGAGAAGCUUUCUCUAGUUGCAGAGCAAGAGAAAACACGAGACUAUAUGCAUUUAAGACUGAAAAAAUUAUGAGCACUUUUUGCAGAGAGCAGCAUAUAAGUCUAAAAGCCAAAAUACAAUUUUCUUAAAGUGUUCCCUAUUUCAACAUUAGUAGGCAUUGAAGUAUUUAAUAUCCGUAAUUAGGAUAUAGUGGUACACAUCAAAAUGUAUCUUUGGCUACACAAUAAUUAUGUUUUAAAAAUCUGAGAGAUAUAGUAGACUACCAAAUUGGAUAUAAGCCAGCAAAAAAAAAAAAUUAUAUCUAUAUCUAUAUAUAUAUGUGUGUGUGUGCAUAUAUAUAUAUAUAUAUAUAUGUAAUAUGAAAGGCAAACACGAUAUGAUUCUGGAGCAUUUUAAUGGAUGUGUGGUGUGCAAGUACUGAGAUAUAGUUCUGGUGCUUUACUUGCAUUAGCCAGGUCAUUAUUAUGGUAUUAUGUCCAGUUUCGAUCUAUACGUUUAAGAAGGAUUGUAUGAAACUUGGAGCAAAUCCAAGGAACAGUCACAAAAACAAUUACUGAGAUGGUGGGAAAAGGUUUAUGAUGAAAGUCAAGAAGCAGAACCUCCUGGGCCUUGAAAAGAUAGAUAUUAAAUAUCAAGUCUUUGAAGGAGUAUUUCAAGGGGAGAAAAACCAGUUACUUUCUGUUUUUUCAGAAGACCAAAUAAGAAGGCCUUUCUGGGGCUCAGGCUUUGCCCUGCAGCCAGAGAGUAAUGUACAUGUGUACAGGGUGCUCUUGUUUGGAAGAGGGAUUAUAUACAAGAAUGGGUGACUCGGGGAGAGUGUCCUUGAGGAGGAGUUAUUUGGUUCGGCCACACCGUUCUCAGAUCAGUUGUCCUAAAUGUCACUCCGCCAUUGAAGUCCUAGCUGUUCGGUAAGCUCUCCAUGCCAUCUGUGACCCAGCCUUACCUCUUGUUUCAUGUGCCCUGUCUACUUUACUCUCCCGAACCCCAAUAGCAUAGCCCAAGCCUCCCUGCUCUGUGACUCCUCCCCACUCGCUGACUUCCUCCUCACCUCACCCGCCCCGCUGUGACCAGUGGUGUUAGACACUUAACACAUCAUUAUAACAUCCUUUCAUUCACUGUAUGACUCAUUUAUGUCUGCCUUAUCUCUUCAACCUAGUUCUGAUCUUCCUGUGGAACGAGAAAGUGACACCAAACUGUCAAACACAUACAGUAUAUAAUACAAGUUCAGAAUAUGUUUCUUUACCGAUGGCACAUUAAAAAUAGAAUGGCUUUCCUUUUGGUUUGGAUGAUUCCUGCUUUAAAAUGUCUGAUAGCCAAUGACCACAUGAGGUGAUCUCGAGAAAGCUUGUAGCUCUCUGUGACUAUAUCAGGUAUUCAUUUCUAUUAUAUGAGACAGAAGCAAUAUAAUGUUGGGGUUGAGAAGGAACGGACAUCUUGGCUCUACUCUUGGUUCUACUGUUGGCUUCUGCACUUCCUGCUUGCAUAACUUUAAAACGUUAUGGAAACUCUCUAAGUCUUAUUAUCCUUAUUUGUAAUAUGUGGUUACUAAACCUACUUCCAAGGAUGGUUAUGAGGAUUAAAACAAUUGGUUAUGAAAAAGGUAUAUCAUAAUGCCAGGCUUGAAGUAAGUACUCAAUGAAUGGUAAUUUUUGUUGUUAACUGAGCACCUAAAUUAUUCCCUGCUACUGAGGUGGACUUUCCGGGAGGCACAAUGUGCUUGAUAUCUCUCAUUUGUCUCUCCAGGUCUCUACCAAAGUCCACAGCAUCUGUCAGGCCAACUUUUCCACACAGCUGCUGUUAAAGGCCACAUUGUUUCCCCCCAAACGCACAUGUUGAAGUCUUAACCUCCACUGACUCAAUGUGACUAUAUUUGGAGAUAGAGCCUUGAGAGAGGUGAUUAAGGAAAUGACCUCGUUCCUGAUGGCUGUUGCUAAUUUAUGGUGAAACACUAGGUCCCUGGCCAAUACCACAUGGACAUCCAAUCAAUUUACCCAGGGACAAGUCCACUCAAGAGCAUCAUUUAGAAGAGAGAAGCGUUGGAGUUAUUUGUUGUUGGAGUAUACGUUUAAGAAAAUCUAAUGUAUUCCCAAGAACAUUGUACUGAGAGGAACACACAGAUGCACUCAUGUGAGAUCUGGAGAGCCAGAGGAAAUAUGCUUCUGCCACUUCUGUGGUUUCUGUUGAUAAGUGCUACCAUCAGGUGCUGAGUUCCUGGGGAAGCACCCCAGUGUCCCAUUACCAGCUCCCAUGUCAAGGUGAGGGCAGAGGCAUCCAUUGUUGGCCAGAGCAGAUCCAGCAGGCACAGAAUGGACCCAAUAAUUGCAGCGCCGGUGGCUUCCUGAUCCUGGACUGUACUAUGGCGACAUGGCCUUGAAUGGAGGGUUCUCUGAUGGCUUUCUGAUCUUCUGCCUCUCCCACUGUGACGGAGGAAGCAGCUUUUUUGGCAUCCUGUUCUUUGGUGCUGCUCUGGGGUCAUUCCUGGAAGCCUGGCCUGAAGCUUGCCCUUCCAACCUCCAGCGAUUCUGCAGAGCACAAGGAAACGGAGAGCCCGAAGAAAGGAUUGAUCUGGGGAGUUUUCCAGAGGGACCCUGGAGCUAAGUCUUACAAGCUGUGAAAUUGGAUAUGCCACACAACAUGCUCUUCGGCUGGUCAGGAAACAAAGAAUUUAAACUUCAUGAGGAUGUGAUUUUUGACUGUUGGGCUCAUGGCUAUCUUCUCACCAUCUAGAGCUGUACCUGGCACAUAAAUAUUUGUGGACUGAAUAAGUGAUGGAUGCCUGUUUUUGGAAAGAGUACAGAUCUGUGUGGCUGGAAGGAUCACUGACAGUGAGAAUAUCAGGCACCAUGGGCUUGUCACAUGAUAUCCACAUGGUUACAUGGCCUGUGCUCCAGUCCCCAACAGGGGGUGGCACUUGGAGUGAAAUGGAAAAACCUCUGUGUCCUACCACUGUUCUAGAGGAGAAGGCGCUGACUCCCCAGAGGGACAGAAGAGCUGCCAGCCAGGACCCUGCAAGCCUGAGUGGCAAUGCCCCGGACAGAUGCUCGUGGACAUCCUGUCCCACUCAGCAAGCCUGGGGGAAGCUGGGACCUGUCAGCCGGUCAGCCAGGAGGAUAAUGGUCAAGUCUACCUGGCCUCGGGGCAAAUUCCUGGGGAAAGGGAGAGGCUAGAGGGUGAGAGAACUCAACUCAAGGGAGUCUUCUGGCUCAGAAUCUCUUUUUGAGGCUCAGAACACAGGUGCUCAAGCCCCACACCUAGAGAUUCUGAGGUGAGGUCAAGGCUCCCGUGUAUCUUUAAGUCCCACAGGUACGUAGAUUCUCUUGUACUCUGUGAUCUGUGCCAUUUGGCAGGAACUAUCAGAAUUUUAAACGUUUAUGCCCUUUGACCUAGUAACUUCACUUCUAAGAAUUUCCUCCACAGGGAUAUGGGUGGGUGUACCCUGCGAAAUGAAGAGGCUCUGAAGAUAGGCGAUGCAGCCUUGUUUGUUAAUAGCAAAGACUAGAAACAACCCA